rnacentral:rRNA from 1 species
GCUACUACCGAUUGGACGUUUUAGUGAGCUCCUCGGAUUGGUCCCGGAAUGGGUGGAAACACCCGUACCGGUGUGCCGAAAAGACGAGCAAACUUGAACGUCUAGAGGAAGUAAAAGUCGUAACAAGGUUUCCGUAGGUG